rnacentral:lncRNA from 1 species
CUUGCCAGGCCAGCGCCAGACGGGGACAAAGAAGAGGUUGAGCACCUUCUCGUACUCCACAAGGUCGGCGUAGUACCCGCCCCGCCUACUGCUCCAACCCUCCCACGAAGAAGAAGAACAUCGUUUCCUUUAUCACUGCGGCCGACGAUCGGUCGUUUGGUCUCUAACGUCGACGGAGAUCUAUCAAAAGAGAAGGUAGGAGUUCGAGGUUAGCGGAAUGGUAUGGAGCUUUCCAGAGGCCACUCUGGGAUUUAGGACUGG